CCAAAGUGAUGACGUCAUUCCUUCAGUGACGCAUCAGGGCGGCCAUUUUAUCAGUUUAGGGGGUCGGAGCAGAAACUGGAUGCAAUAGUCCACGAGCUUUCUUUGUGUAAUUACUUUAAAUUACUUGUUUUGUGCACAUUCGGUCGAUAAUCAGGUACAAUCGAUGAGGUGAUAUUUGCUUAGCGUAUUUUCUGGCGGGAAAGGGUGCGUCGCGACAUCCCAUUCAUUUCUAGCGUGCGCGCGGUUAGCAACUAGCUUAGCUCAGCUAAUGGCACCCCGCGUUAUCUAACAGUCGCACGUAAACAAUAGCCACAACUCGUGUAGCCAACUAAUUGGUUGCCAAGUGUGUUUAUUAAGUCGUUUUGGUGUACUAAUUUCUGUUUCGGCUCCGUUUGUUGCCUUAGUGCUGAAUUAUUGAUCGAGUUGGAAACAGUUAGCACAGCUCGCGCAUUCGGUGUAAUCAUGACGGAGUGCUAUAUUCGUGUGGCGGAGGAUGAAAACGAGGAGCCGAUGGAGAUUCCGUCCGAAGAGGACGGCACCGUGCUGCUCUCCACCGUCGCCGCGCAGUUUCCCGGUGCCUGCGGCCUAAGAUACCGAAGCCCCGUGUCCCAGUGCAUGAGAGGGGUCCGACUAGUGGAGGGGGUUCUUCAUGCACCAGAAGCAGACUGGGGCAAUCUGGUGUACGUGGUUAAUUAUCCAAAAGAUAACAAGAGGAAGAUGGAUGAAAUGGAUGCCGCAUCGGCGGUGAAGAUCAAGAGGGGCAUCCAGAAGACAUCAGAUUUGAUUGUGCUUGGGCUGCCAUGGAAAACAACAGAGCAAGACCUUAAAGAUUAUUUCGGCACUUUUGGAGAGGUGAUCAUGGUGCAGGUGAAAAGGGAUGCCAAGAGUGGAAAUUCCAAAGGAUUCGGUUUUGUAAGAUUUACUGACUAUGAAACACAAAUAAAAGUCAUGUCCCAGCGGCAUAUGAUCGAUGGAAGAUGGUGCGACUGCAAACUUCCCAACUCAAAGGCUGGCCCUGAUGAGCCUAUGAGAAGCAGGAAAGUGUUUGUGGGACGCUGCACUGAGGACAUGACAGCAGAUGAGCUCAGACAGUUUUUUAUGCAGUAUGGCGAAGUCACAGAUGUAUUCAUCCCCAAACCCUUCCGCGCUUUUGCCUUCGUCACCUUCGCAGACGAUCAGGUUGCCCAGUCUCUGUGCGGCGAGGACCUGAUCAUUAAAGGAACCAGCGUGCACAUCUCCAAUGCUGAGCCUAAGCACAAUAAUAGUAGGCAAAUGAUGGAUCGUGGGCGUUUUGGGGGGUAUGGGGGGCAGGGCUUUGGCAGUAGUCGCAGUCCAAACAGCAAUGUUAAUUUUGGGGCCCUAAACCUGAAUCCAGCUAUGAUGGCAGCCGCGCAGGCAGCACUUCAGAGUAGUUGGGGUAUGAUGGGGAUGCUUGCUAAUCAGCAAAACCAGACACCCGCCUCUGGCACCAACCCUAGUGGGCAGAGUGGUAGUAGAGAUCAGACCCAAAAUUACAGCGCAAGCAGCAAUAACUACAACGCUGGCAGCUCAGCUGCUCUGGGGUGGGGGGCGGGUACCAAUUCGGCUGCAGCUGGUGGGUUCAAUUCCAGUUUUGGAUCUAGCAUGGAGACAAAGUCCAGUUGGGGAAUGUAGGGAGAGAUUUGAUUUGGGGCUUGAAAGUAUCCUAAUAUGUAGAUUAUAUGGUAAGUAUUUUGAGAGAAAAAAAGUUUAGUCAUAUUAUUUCCCUUAAAUAUUUGCCUUUUGAUUUUGUAAAACUGAAUGUUCUUCAUAUACAAAGUGAUUGCUCUUUAAGGUUAAUUGAUAGUUAGUUGUGGAAUGAACACUUUUCAGUUUUCAUUAUUGAUAAUUUAUUUUGUAUGAGGCAUUAUUUCAGUAUGCCCACAUAUCAGAGUAUCUCUUAGCAUUUCAGGGCCCUCUCAACAUACAGUACAUUUAAAGAUGUUCCAUGUGGAAAGCCAUUUGAGUUGUGUUCUCUGCAGUUUUUUUUGUACCUCAAAAGUUUUUUAUGGUCAAGCCUUCAUACAUCUCUUCUACAGUUCAUCACCUCUUUUCCAAUUUCCCGGGAAGAAGCCCCUCGUUGGCCGCAAUGUUCGAGCGAUCUCAGUAUCAGUUCCCUUCUUCCCAUGUGUAAAUGCUUUGUCAUCAAAGAGCACAGCUUCACUCUGCAUAUACUGUGUUAGACGGGACGUUGGACUCGGCUGGCCCAGGUUUACCUCAGAACCCUGAGUGAAGUCAAUAAUGGAAGAGCUGAAGACUGAAGUUCACACAGUCCAUCUGUGGAGACUGCUGCUGUAUGCCUUUAACCUGAAAAGGGACUACAUCACUUCACUAACCAGAUUUCCCAGGAAUCCUUUUUGAAAUUACAACGGACAAUUCCCAAUUGGCCGGAGUGCAUGACUAAAGACAGUACAAGGCAAUCUAAAAGCAGAACGACCAGUUGGUUUACGGAUCAGUCCCCAUCACAAAUGACUUCAUGUCCAUGCCCGUGUGUAUUUCCAGCUCUGUUUUAGGCAAGAUGUCAAUGCAAUCAUUGAUCUUGCUUUUUAAGUCUUUCUUUCUUUCUUCUUUUGUUUGAUUGCUUGUGUAUGAUCUGUCUUCACUGUAAAUACAGUUUACCGCAAGUUGAAAAGGCCUAUUUUUCAUACAGUGUCCUGUUGUGGGUGGGGUUUGUGUUGUCAUUGAUUUGAGUCACUGGCAGGAUAUUCAUUUUUCAAAGUACUUAAUAAACAUGCACAGAGGAAUUGCAUCUGUUUUUUUGUUUAAUUGUUAACAUUAGUCUUCUACAAUUUAACAAUACUAGUACAACAUAAAGAUACUACUCUCGUGUGGGAAAUCACAGUAAUGGUAGAACUGCAGGUUUCACUGCAUUAGGAGAUUAAUGGCUAAUUAAAUCUUUCAAUGAUAACUUAAGAUAUUGUCCUAGUUUAUACAACAGCUAAGGUUUUUUUUAAACCUGCAGUGUAAGUGUUUUUUUUUUCACAGCACUUUUAUAAAUUCUGUCGUAAAUAUGUAUCAUGAGCUAUACAAUUUAAUAAAAGCCAUUUUUCAAUGGAA